CCUACGGGAGGCAGCAGUGGGGAAUAUUGCACAAUGUGGGAAACCCUGAUGCAGCGACGCCGCGUGAGCGAGGAAGUAUUUCGGUAUGUAAAGCUCUAUCAGCAGGGACGAAAAAAGACGGUACCUGACUAAGAAGCCCCGGCUAACUACGUGCCAGCAGCCGCGGUAAUACGUAGGGGGCAAGCGUUAUCCGGAUUUACUGGGUGUAAAGGGAGCGUAGACGGCAAGGCAAGCCAGAAGUGAAAGGGCAGGGAUCAACCCUGUACAUGCUUUUGGAACUGUGGUGCUAGAGUGCAGGAGAGGUAAGUGGAAUUCCUAGUGUAGCGGUGAAAUGCGUAGAUAUUAGGAGGAACACCAGUGGCGAAGGCGGCUUACUGGACUGUAACUGACGUUGAGGCUCGAAAGCGUGGGGAGCAAACAGGAUUAGAUACCCGAGUAGUC
rnacentral:rRNA from 1 species